rnacentral:rRNA from 1 species
GUGGGGAAUUUUUCGCAAUGGGCGAAAGCCUGACGAAGCAACGCCGCGUGGAGGAUGACGGCCCUAGCGGUCUUAAACUCCUGUCUAGCGGGACGAAUGUCUUUUUGCCAAAUAAGCAAAGAGAGUGACUGUACCGCUGGAGGAAGCUCCGGCCAACUCCGUGCCAGCAGCCGCGGUAAUACGGAGGGAGCAAGCGUUACUCGGAAUUAUUGGGCGUAAAGGGCGCGUAGGCGAUUCAGUAAGUCUUAUGUGAAAGCCCAGAGCUUAACUCUGGAAGUGCACGAGAUACUGCUGAAAUUGAGUUCCGGAGAGGAAGGCAGAAUUCCCGGUGUAGCGGUGAAAUGCGUAGAUAUCGGGAGGAAUACCAGUGGCGAAGGCGGCCUUCUGGACGGAUACUGACGCUGAGGCGCGAAAGCCAGGGGAGCAAACGGGAUUAGAUACCCGGGUAGUCC